GUUUUCAUCAUGUUAAACAACAUGAUGAAAACUACAUGGUUGCUUCAGUGGAUGUUGAUCUUUUUCAUAUCAAGAUUAAACCGAUAUCAUUGGAUGUGGUUUCUUUUGAGUACUAAAGAAUCGACUCUUUCUAUCUAUGGAUGUCACAGUUUUGUUUGCUUCAAAAUCUAGGCUUUUUUCAAAGCCACAAUUCUGUUAAAAACAUUACUGAGCAAAAAAGAAAUUUUUUUGUUAAA